UACGUAGGGGGCUAGCGUUGUCCGGAAUCAUUGGGCGUAAAGCGCGUGUAGGCGGCCCGGUAAGUCCGCUGUGAAAGUCGGGGGCUCAACCCUCGGAUGCCGGUGGAUACUGUCGGGCUUGAGUACGGAAGAGGCGAGUGGAAUUCCUGGUGUAGCGGUGAAAUGCGCAGAUAUCAGGAGGAACACCAAUUGCGAAGGCAGCUCGCUGGGACGUUACUGACGCUGAGACGCGAAAGCGUGGGGAGCGAACAGG
rnacentral:rRNA from 1 species